GCUGCCUUCUCCUGAGAGUCGGAGCCACAGCCAGAGCCCUGCCCAGGCCGAGCCGGAGCUGCAGCCCGAGCGCGGUGGUGCCCUCAGCCCCGUCCUCUUGUCCUCCUCAGCCUCGGUGCCUUGGAAUUUGUGUCGCUGAGUCAGCAAGCCUUUCAGAUUUGCCCGGUUUUUGUUGUUUGUGGUUUGUAUCAAGAUGGGAACUCAAACAAGUCAUUCCUCCUAAGGAGCUGGUGUCUUCAUCCAGAAGGGACAGUUUGUGCCAGCUCUCCAGAGAGAAAAGAUCUGCCGGAGGCGCUGGGCAAUGACCCCGGGACUCCAGGCCAGAGGGGUCUGAAGCUGUUUGGGAAAGCAGCGGGACUCCUUGGGAAGAUGGCCAUGGCCCCAAGCCCUUCCCUGGUGCAGGUGUACACCAGCCCCGCAGCUGUGGCUAUGGCAGGAUGGGCUGGGCACCUGGCACCCCUACAGUGCCACCAUCUGCAGCUUCAUCGAGCAGCAGUUUGUCCAGCAGAAGGGCCAACGUUUUGGGCUUGGGAGCCUGGCCCACAGCAUCCCCUUGGGCCAGGCAGACCCCUCGCUGGCCCGUUACAUUAUUGACCUCCCCAGCUGGACCCAGUUCCGCCAGGACACCGGCACCAUGCGGACUGUGCGGAGACACCUGUUCCCCCAGCACUCAGCCCCUGGCCGAGGUGUCGUCUGGGAGUGGCUGAGCGACGAUGGCUCCUGGACCGCCUAUGAAGCCGGCGUCUGUGACGAUCUGGAGCAGCAGGUGGCCAGGGGCAACCAGCUCGUGGACUUGGCCCCCCUGGGGUACAACUACACUGUCAACUACACCACCCACACGCAGACCAACAAGACUUCCAGCUUCUGCUGCAGCGUGCGGCGCCAAGCAGGGCCGCCUUACCCAGUGACCACCAUCAUCGCUCCGCCGGGCCACACAGGCGUCGCCUGCUCUUGCCACCAGUGCCUCAGUGGCAGCAGAACUGGCCCUGUAUCAGGCCGCUACCGCCACUCCAUGACCAACCUCCCUGCAUACCCCGCCCCCCAGCACCCCCCCCACAGGACCGCUUCUGUGUUUGGGACCCACCAGGCCUUUGCACCAUACAACAAACCCUCACUCUCCGGGGCCCGGUCUGCGCCCAGGCUGAACACCACGAACGCCUGGGACGCAGCUCCUCCUUCCCUGGGGAGCCAGCCCCUCUACCGCUCCAGCCUCUCCCACCUGGGACCGCAGCACCUGCCCCCAGGAUCCUCCACCUCCGGUGCAGUCAGUGCCUCCCUCCCCAGCGGUCCCUCAAGCAGCCCAGGGAGCGUCCCUGCCACUGUGCCCAUGCAGAUGCCAAAGCCCAGCAGAGUCCAGCAGGCGCUCGCAGGAGCGACCCCGAAGCCAGAGCCAGAGCCAGAGCAGGUCAUAAAAAACUACACGGAAGAGCUGAAAGUGCCCCCAGAUGAGGACUGCAUCAUCUGCAUGGAGAAGCUGUCCGCAGCGUCUGGAUACAGCGAUGUGACUGACAGCAAGGCAAUCGGGCCCCUGGCUGUGGGCUGCCUCACCAAGUGCAGCCACGCCUUCCACCUGCUGUGCCUCCUGGCCAUGUACUGCAACGGCAAUAAGGGCCCUGAGCACCCCAAUCCCGGAAAGCCGUUCACUGCCAGAGGGUUUCCCCGCCAGUGCUACCUUCCAGACAACGCCCAGGGCCGCAAGCCUCCAGGGGCUUCCAGAACCCGGAGACACUGGCUGACAUUCCGGCCUCCCCACAGCUGCUGACCGAUGGCCACUACAUGACGCUGCCCGUGUCUCCGGACCAGCUGCCCUGUGACGACCCCAUGGCGGGCAGCGGAGGCGCCCCCGUGCUGCGGGUGGGCCAUGACCACGGCUGCCACCAGCAGCCCUUCUGCAACGCGCCCCUCCCUGGCCCUGGACCCUAUCGGGUGAAGUGAUACCCUGUCUUGAACGAACAGGCCAGGCGCAGUGACUCACACCUGUAAUCCCAGGACUUUGGGAGGCUGAGUACAGAACCUGCUAAGGCCAUCAAACCUAUUGAUCGGAAGUCAGUCCAUCAGAUUUGCUCUGGGCCAGUGGUACUGAGUCUAAGCACUGCAGUGAAGGAGUUAGUAGAAAACAGUCUGGAUGCUGGUGCCACUAAUAUUGAUCUAAAGCUUAAGGACUAUGGAAUGGAUCUCAUUGAAGUUUCAGGCAAUGGAUGUGGGGUAGAAGAAGAAAACUUCGAAGGCUUAAUGAUGUCACCAUUUCUACCUGCCACGUAUCGGCGAAGGUUGGGACUCGACUGGUGUUUGAUCACGAUGGGAAAAUCAUCCAGAAAACCCCCUACCCCCACCCCAGAGGGACCACAGUCAGCGUGAAGCAGUUAUUUUCUACGCUACCUGUGCGCCAUAAGGAAUUUCAAAGGAAUAUUAAGAAGAAACGUGCCUGCUUCCCCUUCGCCUUCUGCCGUGAUUGUCAGCUUCUUGAGGGCUCCCCAGCCAUGCUUCCUGUACAGCCUGCAAAACUGACUCCUAGAAGUACCCCACCCCACCCCUGCUCCUUGGAGGACAACGUGAUCACUGUAUUCAGCUCCAUCAAGAAUGGUCCAGGUUCUUCUAGAUGAUCUGCACAAAUGGUUCCUCUCCUCCUUCCUGAUGUCUGCCAUUAGCAUUGGAAUAAAGUUCCUGCUGAAAAUCCACAUCUCCCCUGGGUCCGGUGUUCUGGAAGUGAGAGAGACAAUGUCACACUUCAAGGAGGCAGCUCUCUAGACAGGAAGGUUAUUCACGUCCCAUGUCAAGUCUAGCUAGAGUUCAGAGCAAUUGAGAAGUGCAAUUUUAUCUCCUGCCUUUCAUUCUAUACCCUGCUUCUGAACCAUCGUGUUCAACUGUGAAACUCACACUUUGGUGACCCUGACUCCAAAACUUAAUACACCCAAGGUCAGCCCCAGUGAUCUGCUUCAUAGCCAGGACUUUGGGUGGGUCUUCCCAGGGAGUAGGGCACCCUCAGAGAAUGUGGCUUUGGACUUCAUCACAGCUGGGGCCUUUUGUGUCACUUCAGAUCUAAACUUGUAACCGUGCUAGAUCUGCUUCUAACGUGACAACAUCACGAACCACGAGUCCAGAAGCCUAAUCCAUAAUCCUCCCUCCUCAUGACGAAGUCUCAUGCUCUGUGCUCAACAUGGUUAGCUGCACAAGAUGUAAACCAAAGCUUCACUGAACCCUCGACCCAAAUCGGUAACUCAAGUGCAUCAAUCAUAAUGAACCUCCCCGAACUCAGUAUUUAUGAUUAUUUUUGAGGCAGGGUCUCACUCUGUCGCCCGGGCUGGAGUGCAGUGGCAGGAUCAGGGCUCCCUGCAGCCCCGACCUCCCAGGCUCCAGCGAUCCUCCCGCCUCAGCCUCCUGAGUAGUUGGGAGUAGAGAUGCCUCCCACAUCGCCUGGCUAAUUUUUGUAUUUUUGUGGAGAGGGGAUCUCGCCACGUUGCCCAGGCUUGAAGCCAGAUCAAGCAAUUGGGUUCCUUGGAUUUCCGAAAUAGACCCCAAUAUUCUGCCUUUACCCCGGAGGAUGCAGAUGUACCUUCUCUCAGGCCGAUGACCUCAGGCCUCCACGGUCCCUGGAGCUCUAGGAAAGGUGGGCGCGAUCUCGCGCCCACACCCAGUGCUCUGGGUCAUAAGCCUGGAUCUGGAAAAACAAACGCGCUUUGAGAAGACGGGGACUCCCCAGGAUACCCCUCUCUCCCCUCGUCCAGCCUCCAGCCCACCCGAUUCCUCCCCACAUCCUCCACGUCCCCAGGCCCCACCCACCUCUUCCAACUCCUCCAGGGAAACCCAAGCCCUGCAGCGCAUGGAACAAAAGAAGUGGAACCGAUACUUCCGGAACAAGGCUAUCUGAGAGCAGUUCUUCCUGGCCCUCGGGUUCAUGUAACGGCAUAACUGGAACCAAAGCUCACUGAGCAAGGGUAUAUGAGAGCGGGUCUCCUCGUACAGGAAGUAGAAGAUGUUUUGUUUGGGGGCCUCGUCGUCCUCCUCCAUGUCAUUGGCCAGAUAGCUGAGGACAGAAAUCAGGUUGCUGCUCAGGGGCACCACCAGGAGAGACCUCCGGCUGAGGUCAGCUUCUCAGAGAGGAAGGUAAGGGACCGUCCCUAGCUCAGGACUGGCACCCACCCUGCAGAGAGCCACGCCUUCCUCAGGAGGGCUCUGCUGGACAGAGACCUGAUCAAGGGCGUCUCCCACUCCUUCAGGAUGGAGACAAAAACCCAACUGGUGACCAAGAGUGGUGGCUUAUGCCUGGAAUCCCAGCACACUGGGAGGCCGAAGCAGGAGGAUCACUUGAGGCCAGGAGUUUGAGACAGGCCUGGGCAACAUAGCAAGACCCUCGUCUCUAUUAAAAAUAUAAAAAAUACGCCAGACGUGGCUCAUGCCUGUAAUCCCAGCGCUUUGGAAGGCUGAAGCAGGUGGAUUGCUUGAGACCAGGAGUUUGAGACCAGCCUGGUCAACACAGAGAAACCCCAUCUAUACUAAAAAUACAAAAAUCAGCCUGGUGCGGUGGCACACCCAUUAGUCCUAGCUACUCAGGAGGCUGAAGCAUAAGAAUUGUGUGAACCCAGGAGGCGGAGGUUGCAGUGAGCCAAGAUUGGGCCCCUCCAUUCCAGCCUGAGAGACACAGCAAC
rnacentral:lncRNA from 1 species